GACAAUGCCGGUAAUUGCCAUUAUUGCAGCAACUAUCUGUCAAAUAGGAUGCAAAGAAACAGAAAAGCAAUGAUCCCUCUGUAUCCUAGAGCAGGCAAUUCAAGACUUCCUGAAAGCUGCUAAGUACUUCCUUAAACCUAAUUACCUUUUGUACAUCACUUUAAAUGUAGAAAGGCUCAGUAUUAGAAAUAAAUCAAUAUGUUCAUGAGAUAUCCAGGCACAGAAUAUAAAAGCUGUUCACAUUCUAAUUAAAGACUAGUAAUUUUAUUAUUUUUAAUAUAUUUUUACUUUUUUAGGCCUAAUUUUAAUUUUUUAGCUCAAGCUUUCUAGAGACUAACAUUUGUACUGGUGAAAUUUAAUAGGAAGUCACUUCUAAGAGUUUUCAUCUCGUCUGUAUUUCAUCUAUUCUUUUUCCUCCAAUUCAGCAUACAUUUUAAUCAGCUCCUUGGCUCAAGGUAUGUUUCUGAAGAUCUCCAUCUAAUCAGGACCUGAUUAGAGAAGCAUGAUAUUGAUACAGCUAAGAGGCAAAAUUUGGGCCAAUGGGAAAAAAGAAAGAAAAUAAAUUCUCAUAGAGAUUUAUAGAGGAGCAAGCUGAGUCUGCACUGUCACUUGGAAUGUCAAAUGGAAGCCAGUACUUCCUUUUGUUCACAUGAAAAUUCAGUUUUUCAGAAAAACCACUGAAAGAUAAUUUCAUUUAAUUACUCUAGAGCAUUAACUGCAUAAAGUGAAAUAUUCAUAAUUCAACUGAAGUCAUCAUUGUUUACUGUAAAUUGAUGAUUCUUGCUAUAUUCAAAACAGGAGUCUACUCCUUUAGUGAAAUGCUGGUUUGUGUCAUCUCUUUAUCUUGAACUAGUUCUACUGGAAAGCAGUUCAGAGCUACAGCAAACAGUAAAAUGAUGCUGGAACAGGUGACAAUAUGUCGUUUCCUUGUGAAAUGGUUUCACUGACUUUAAAAUCCAGAUGAAAAUUGGUGAGAAAUUUAAACCUACAUGGUGAUUAAUUUUGUUAAGCUUCAGUUCUGAGUAUUCCCAAGCAAAGAAAUUCUUCAGUUCUGAGAUUCCCAGUAAAGAAAUUCCCAAGUAAAGAUAGCUUUUUAACAUAUGUGAUUUUCGGGGGCCCUUUUGAAUACUAUUAGUGAAUUAUUUUUUAUAACAUGUAGAUUUUUAACAUGUAAUUACUGACUCGCUUGAGGCCACUGCAAAGUAUGUUCCCAAUUACAUAGAAUUCAGACGCUGCUAAAGCAUGUCUUUUGUUAGUGGCCACCAAAAACAAGGGCCCACUUGGUUUCAGAGUAGCUCCAUAUUAAAGUGUCCUUAAUGAAAAACAGCAGGAGUACUUGAGAAUAGACAUAGACAUGUCAGCAGUGAAAAACCAUCUUCAUUAAACAUUAUCCAGGAGGCUGCUUGAUGGGAGGUGGUUUUCUUGCUGAGUGAAUAUCAUAUUCUCUGAAGCUGCUGGGUGUCUGUUCCAGUUAGACUUGGCCUUAAACUAUAAGGAAUAGAAUUUAAGAAUUUAGGUGUCAAGGAGAUUUCUAAAUAAUAAGUAAUAGACUCAUCAAUAAACACAGUGAGGGGGUUAUCUAGACCUGGAUAAAGGUCUAGACUCAUCAGUAAACACAGUGAGGGGGUUAUCUAGACCUGGAAAUUCUAUGAGGGUUAUCAUUUUCCUUGAUUUGGGGAUUUGCAACAGUUCUUUGGGGGAUCUGAUUUCAGGGAAAUAAAAAAGGCACAUUAGAUAUUGGCAUAUCCUGAUUUGGUUUUGUGUUUAAAUGAUGUUCACUGGUUAGUAUUCAUGUGCACAAAUAGAUUUCCUUCAUAAGAAUGAACUAACGGGAUAAUACAUUUGAGUUAACGUUUGUUUUCUUUUAGCUAAGCAUUGCAUUUUCUAGGUCAAAUAAACAAGCGGUUACUUGAAGCCAAGGCUAACAAAACUGUAAAUCCUAACGAACUUUCACAUGAUGUGCUAUUUUAUAUUUUAAAUUAUUAAAAGCAUUCUAUAAUACAUAAUACAUGGGUUUAGGCAAUUACACACUGUAGUAUGUAAUUCUGGGUUUAGAAAAUUGUGAAAACCAAUUAAAAAACCCCAAAGCACAAAACAAAAUCCUGUCUAGAAAAGGACAGGCAGUUGGUUUCAUUAUCCCCAAGAUAUGACCACAGGUAGGAACUCUUCCUUUUCUGAGUUAGCUACUAGUAAAAAUAGAUAUGCAUAAAAUUUCUAUUAUGUUUCCUCAAGAUAGGAAUUGAACAUGGGUAAAGAUUACAUAACUCUGUAGCAAUUCAAAAUUAUAACCAUAGUGAGCCUCUUAAAGAUCUUCAUUACUCGUUAUAUUCAAGUGCUUGUGAAAAUAUUAGCCUGGACCACUUAAAUUGACAUGUCAAUUACAGCAGUGUCUCUUUCAAUUGCCUUCACAGAGAGAAGCAUUUUUCACUUUAGGGGGUCAGACAAUGCUGUUAAGUUCUGAAAGAAUGAAAAUCUGAAUAUUUGAAAUGUUAGAAAAAUUCUCCAUGACAUGAGCAGUAAUUCAUAAGUUAUAUAGUAUGUUCCUGGGGCAGGGUGCGGGUGGAGGGUAUAGUGGGAAUAGAUAAAUUAUUUGCCACAUUUUAGUUUAAAUUUCAAAAAUAUCUGAUAGGUCAAAUUCUCUAUGGCUAUAUUUUAAGAAAUUUUAAAUAUAUUUCUUAUCUAUACUGUUGUAAGUGAAGGAAGAGAUCUCAACUAAUCUUGAAAAUGAGGAAAAAUUGUGGAGUGGUUGUUUGGGUGAUCUCAGAAUGGCUCUGCUUGGCACCACUGGUUUAACUUUAGAGAGUAAAUACUCUUUAGAUGUCUGGAGAACAAAUAUCCUAAGCACGUAUCAGUCACACACAUUUUCAGAAUCAAUCAGUCAUCAAAGAGGGAUUAAUAAUCUGUUCUUCUCAACAGAAAAACACAAAACGACUCUUCUUGGCCUCAGCUUUCUGGAAAUGUGUCUGCAGGAAGCCAGUGCCUAAAAUAUUGUGUCAAAAAUGCUCAUAUGUGUUCAUUCACAUGAAGACAACCACUAAAGUGCUCCUGGGACACAUUAACAUCCAUGAGGAAUUCUUCUGCUGAAAAUACACCAUCUAGUGGUGCCACCUGCUCGGCUUCUGAAAAAUCUGUGUCUCUUGACAAUCUAUUCCAGUUCCAGCCUCUUAACCAACCAGAAGUGUCUAAAUAAGAUGGAAAACUAGGCCAGGCACAGUGGCUCACGCCUGUAAUUCCAGCACUUUGGGAGGCCCAGGCUGCUGUAACAAAUUACCACAAACUUGGUGACUUAAAACAACAGAAAUUUAUUCUCUCACGGUUCUGGAGGCCAGAAGUUCAAAAUACAGCUGGGACCAAAGGCAUCUCUAAGGAAGGAUACAGUCCUUGCCUCUUCCAGGGUUCUGGUCAGUGUCUUGGCAUUCCUGGCUGGUGACCACAUCAUUCCAAUCUCUGUCUGUGAUCACAUUGCCGCCACCUCCUCUUCUGUGUGUGUCUCUUUUGUGAGUCUCUCAUAAGGACACUUGUUAUUGGAUUUAGGUCCCACUCAGAUAAUCCAAUAUGAUGUCCCCUUUUCAAGAUCCUUAAGUUAAUAAUAUCUGCAAGGACCCUUUAUCCAAAUAAGGUCACAGUGACAGAUUUGGGGGAUUAAGAUGUGGACAGAUCUUUUUUGGAGUCACCAUUCAACCCACUGCAGAUGGCAAAUUUUAAAUGGCAAUGGUUGGUAGCCUAUAGGCAGAUUUUUGAUUUUUAAAAUCUGCUAUUUAAAGAUAAGUUACACAGUUGUUUUCUUUUUCUCUAAAAUACCUCAAAUAAACACUGUACCUUUUUGGACGUAACCUCUUGCAUCAGUGAGGUCCAUGGUUAAAUGUGUUCAUUUGCUUUAAUACAACGGAUUUUAUUGCUGGUAUAUCUAAUGGUGAAAAUAUGGAUUUAAUGUUGGUAUUUGCAUGCCACUAAAAGAACAAAAGAGCCUCCAAAUCUCUCUUCUCCCCUCUUCUGAGAAGGCUCUCCAGGUUCUUAUGGGUGGUCCAUGAUAGUGAAAGACAGUGAAAAGAAAGAUCUCAGAAGUAUGAACUCAUUUACUAUAUCCUCAAAUAUCAAUCGAACCCCCACUUCGUGCCCUGUAAUAUUCUAGACAUUGGAAAUAGAGACAGCUGACUUCCUAGGGGAUGACUUAUGUUGAUAUAUAGGGCCUUGUGCUUGGAAGGUCCCCACCCUUGGCUCAGUGCUCUGUUGUUGUUAUCUUAAAAUUAUUAAUAUUCAUUUUGCACUGGGCCUCAUGGAUUAUGUGGCAGAUCUUGAAAAGAACAGUGGACAAUAUAGGAAAGCUUCCAGCUCUCAAGGACUUGUCAGGGUAUCUGAUGGUACACAGCCAGCACCAGUGCCCCAGACAUAAAUAUGUGAUGCUGAGCCCUUUGGGGUCAAAUCUAAGAUAAGCCAGUAAAGAAUGUAGUGUCACAUUUGGAUAUACUGUAAUGGUAUCAUGGACUGACUCACAGUUUCUGAUUUUGUCUUCUAUCAAAACUUUCUACUUAUUAAUAUGAAGCUUCAUUUCUAAAUUUCAGAGCAGCAUCUCCCAAGAUACAAUCAGAAUUGUCUAACUAACUGUUUUCUUAAGAAAAUCUUUCAGGGUUAAUGACCAUCAUAAACCCUCUCUCUAACGUAGACAUUGGGUUCAGCAUUUGGGAGGGGGAAAGGACCUUGGAAUCAUUGCCAAUAAGAGCAAUGUUUUUAUAACAAAAUUGUUUCAAAUUCUAUCUUGGACAUCUCUUUCAGAGAAGAUAAGUUGUGUAAUAUUGAUACUCUGAGAAAAGGCAAUUCAUUUAUACCUCCUUCUAAAGAAGUGUUGUCUCAGUAUGUUCAUCAUAGUGGCAUGCCGGAUUAUAUGAAUGAGAUCUGGCUCCUUAAAUCUUCAGGGCUUCCCAGCAAUCUAUUUUUAACAUAGAACAAGCAUAUAAAUAUAUAUGUUUUUAAUCCAUAUUACUCCUGAAAGGAAUAAACUCAGAACUGAAGUUGUUGGUGGAAGUUUAAUGCAGUUCAAUUAAGGAUUUGUAUCCAAAAGAAGUUGUUGCUUGUACUUCCAUUUCUGCAUUAGUCACACUAGAUAUAUAGUCACUUUUAACAGCAUUGUGCCAUUACCAGUGACUUUAAUUACUGUUUGGUAAUCUUAUCUACUUACACCAAUAUUAAUUAAAUCCAUCUGGUGGGGGGGGGAUGGGGGUCAUCUCAACAUAUGUUGAUUGAAAAAUGCAAACCAUAAUCUUUACAGUGGCUAAUUUUCUCAGACCCUUCAUUCCUGAGGACAGAAGGAGUUGAACACACCGUUAAUUCUAAAAAUUAAGUCUAACAUAGGAACUUGUUUUCUCUGCCUGUUUUAGUGCCUCCUGUUGGAAUCAGCUCACUAACCAGUGGAAACAAACUGUUUAUCCUUCUAUGAUGUUGUUAACUGCCUGGGCUUUCUAAUGCGUCUUCAGAUUUCAGUUUGUACUCAGAACAAGUGAGAAAAGUUUUACAGAAACUCCACGAAACAAAGCAGACAGGCUCUCCUGAAGCCAAGGAGUUAUGAAAAAGGCAGGCAUCGCGCACUGAAUCAAGUAUGCCAUUACCCUCACUCCCAUGAACCUGUCUUUCAGCACAAUCCAUGACAGCAAGAAGACAAAGGCUUUGUUACAACAGAACAGAGCGGAGACAUCCGUGGCCGUCAGCUUCUUUAAAGCCAGUAAAUAAAGGAAAGAAAAGAGAAGUUAAUAUCCAGGUACUGAUGGUGACACCUCUUGUCUUAUCUGACUCAUCGCAGCCAUUUUCAGGUCUGGCUCUCUUACCCAGGCUGGAAUGCGGUAGCAUGAUCUUGGCUCACUGCAACCUCCGCCUCCCAGACUCGAGCCAUCCUCACACCUCAGCCUCCUGAGUAGCUGGGACUACAGGCACGCACCACCAUGCCAGGCUAGUUUUUGAAAUUUUUUUGUAGAGACAGGAUUUCACUCUGUUGCCUAGGCUGGUCUCAAACUCAUAAGCUCAGGUGAUCUGCUCACCUUGGCCUCCCAAAGUGCUGAGAUUACAGGCAAGAGCCACUGCACCUGGCUCUGAGGGGCCAUUUUAAUAAAAAUGUUCAAGCUAGCAAUACAUACAGGCAAUAAUGGAAGUGAUACAAUGACUGUACCUAUACGACUAUGGACUGAAGACAGACUUACCACUGGGAGAAUUUUAAUUUUUUUCCCACUCGAUUGUUCAUGAACAUUCAAGCAUUUAUGGGGUAACUGUCAUGCUCCAGGCAUUGUAUUUUCAUGAGUAGUAUAUGUUUAUAAUGAAAUCUAUUUACAGGACUCUAGUACUAGUUUCUUUUCCAGUUUUAACUGAAAUUAGUGUGCCUCAAAGUAUUGCAAAUCAAAGUAAAUUCUAGCCAAUGUUUGCCUCACAUGAAUGCUCACAUGAAUAACCCCAAAAAAGGACCACGUGGAGAGGAGGAGUGACAAAGAAUUAGGCACAGGGAGUAUAGCCUUAAAGAUUAAGUUUCAUAGUAAAUGUGACUUUCAACUGGAUGAGAAUGUUGGGAGUUGCAGGUCACUGGUUCCAGGAAGGUUAAAGACAUGUGUUGCACACACAGAAACUUGUAUUGAAAUUUGUUUACUUUCAUGUAAGGAGGCUUCCAAAAAGGAAGGAUUUUUGUAAAAUGAAAGUAAGAUUUCCCAAAGAUAAAUUUUAACUUUAAAGCCUUCUGUAAAGUAAACAGAAAUUACACACGCUCACAUACACAGGAAAGUGAACAGUCUCUUUGGAGCCCCACAGCCAAUGGGAUAUUCUGAAUUAGCACCAUACAUAGAACCAGAGGAAGUUUUCAUAGAGCAUCCUGGGCACAAAGUUCAUUUUCUGUACUUAUAAGGCGAUCUGCUCCGUGAGAAAGCUGCCGUGUAGAGCUGCAGUUGAGAGUCGUGGGUUUAUCCCAUCAUUUACAACUACUGAUAGCCUUUUAAAAUAUGAACACAUUUAUUAAGAACCACAACAAAACCCAUUCCUGAUUAAAGGAUAUCUUUUUCUUAUCACUGGCCCUAGCCAGUGAUUGUUCUUCAACCAAGAGCUGGGAGGAGUGCUCCUAAGCAAAGAUUUUGGAUGCAGGAAAGGAACACUCCAGUCCCACAGGGAAGACCAACAGAUGUGUAUUCCAGACAGGCAGAGCCUCACUGAUAGAGCAGCUGGGAAGACGCUGCUGACAGGUGGAGACUGUUCUCACCUGGCUCAACCUGUCUUCCAGGUGUUCAUUCCCUCGUUCUUCCCCUUUCUUUCCCCUUCUCUCACUGCCGACCUUCUCCCCUUUGUUACUGUUGUUGUAGAAAUUAAAAAUGCUCUCCAUCCAAAUGCCAGGUCACUUGUGUAAAAUCCCAUACUAUUUAAGCAUUAAACUCUAAGAAACAUGAAAACUGAAAAAAAUAUGGAUUUUUAUGGAGAAGCGAAUAACAGUGGGUUUCUCUUUGGGAUGAUGAGAUCAGACUUUCUGGGCAAGUGGCAUUGACAGGUGGUAUAGCUUGAAAUGAAGCAUAGAAGUUGGAGGACACUAAUAAUUUAGUUAUGCUUAUUAUUAAAACAGCAGCCACUAGUUGUUGAACCCUGUCUAUAUGUUAAAUAGCAUCUUAAGCAUAUUUUAUAGGUGCCUGUCAUAGGCAAAUAGGUCUUUGGCUCUAGUUUGAUGCUUUCUAAGAUUUUUUCUCCUAAGAAAACAUCCUUGUUAAUAAUAUUGUAUAUAUUUUUUUCUUCCUAAAUUUCAAAUUCACUUGAGGCAAUUGAAUUCUCCUGUAGUAUAUAAAUGAUUAGUAGUAUAUAAAUGAUUAUAAAAACUACUUAUAAAGACAGUCCUUACCAUCCAGAUUUGAUACUUUAUUGAAAAUUAUUUUGAUAUUACUGAUAAAAAAAUACUGGAAAUGCUUUCAUACCAUUCUAGAGAAAAUAGAUUCUGGUGCUAUGGGACAAAUUCUAUUUCCAGUCUUACACACUAACUCUAUUCUUCCCUUGUUCAGUCAUGAGAGCUUCAGGAGUAACUUCUUGGCAGAUGGUAUUAAUGAGUCUACAGGGAAAAAAAGAUCGAGAAUCUAAGAAUUGUCUGACAAUUUUAGGGAGGAGGCCAUUGGAGAAUAUUCCCUUCAGAGAUAGUAUUUUCUGCUUGACAAUAAAAGCUCCGAUUCUAUUUCAGAAAUGGUCAACUUCACUCUACAUGCACUAUAGGUAGAGAGCUAAAUCAGAUUUUACUAAGUUCAGAGUUAGUCUGACAUGAGAGAUGUGGAAAAAAUGAAGUGCAUUCCCAAAACAACAUUUCUGCUAGCAGCAAUCUCUUGUUUUAAAUCAGUUAUCUUAAACUGACUUAACUUGCUUUGAGGUAUUCUUGAGGUACUUCUUUUUAUAUAAAACUUUUGUUGUUUUAAAUCAAUGUGUGUCUAAAUCAUGGAAGCAUUCAAGUAGAACACACACACUGUACAGGUGCACAUAGGUAUCUUCAAACAGGGACAACUGUAGUCUGAUAAUCACAUUCCCCUAUAAAUACUGUUUAAAAAUUUUACAAUGCAAGAUCAUGUCUGUUUGGAUGGGAAUCAAAUAAAUAUAAAAUAUCUUUAGUAAUCUCAAAUAGUCAUAGGGCUCUCCCCCAAACCAGUAAGCAUUUACUCUUUUUGAAUUGUUUUUUAAUUCUUUAAUUAUAGCUGAGUUUUCAUAGACACAUAUAGAAAAUCAACUCAUGGUGAGAAUUAAUAUUCCCAAGCACUUGCAAAGUGGUGAUAGGAAAUUAUAGCGCAUGCCUAUAAUCCCAGCACUUUGGGAGGCCAAAAACCACAUGAUUAUCUCAAUAGAUGCAGAAAAGGCCUUCGACAAAAUUCAACACCCCUUCAUACUAAAAGCUCUCAAACUAGGUAUGGAUGGAACGUAUCUCAAAAUAAUAAGACCUAUUUAUGACAGACUCACAGCCAAUAUCAUACUGAAUGGGCAAAAGCUAGAAGCAUUCCCUUUGAAAACCGGUCCAAGAAAAGGAUGCCCUCUCUUGCCACUCCUAUUCAACAUAGUAUUGGAAGUUCUGGCCAGGGAGAUCAGGCAAGAGAAAAAAAUAAAGGGUAUCCAAGUAGGAAAAGAGGAAGUCAAAUUGUCUCUGUUUGCAGAUGACAUGAUUAUCUACUAAGAAAACCCUACCGCCUCAGCCUAAAAUCUCCUUAAGCUGAUAAGGAACUUCAGCAAAAUCUCAGGACACAAAAUCAAUGUGCAAAUAUCACAAGCAUUCCUAUACACCAGUAAUAGCCAAAUCAUGAGUGAACAGCUAUUUACAAUUGCUACAAAGAGAAUAAAAUACCUAAGAAUACAACUUACUUACAAGGGAUUUGAAGGACCUCAUCAACAAACCACUGCUCAAGGAAAUAAGAGAGGACACAAACAGGUGGGAAAACAUUCUAUGCUCAUUGAUAGGAAGAAUCAAUAUCGUCAAAAUGGCCAUACUGCCCAAAGUAAUUUAUAGAUUCAAUGCUCUUCCCAUCAAGCUACCAUUGACUUUCUUCUACAGAAUUGGAAAAAAACUACUUUAAACUUCAUAUGAAACCUAAAAAAAGGCUUUAUAGCCAAGACAAUCCUAAGUAAAAAGAACAAAGCUGGAGGCAUCACGCUGCCUGACUUCAAACUAUACUACAAGGCUACAGUAACCAAAACAGCAUGGUACUGGUACCAAAACAGAGAUAUAGACCAAUGGAACAGAACAGAGGCCUCAAAAAUAACACCACACAUCUACAACCAUCUAGUCUUUGACAAGCCUGACAAAAACAAGCAAUGGAGGAAAGAUGCCCUAUUUAAUAAAUGGUGUUGGGAAAAUUGGCUAGCCAUAUGCAGAAAACUGAAACUGAACCCCUUCCUUACACCUUAUACAAAAAUUAACUCAAGGUGGAUUAAAGACUUAAACGUAAGACCUAAAACCAUAAAAACUCGAGAAGAAAACCUAGGCAAUACCAUUCAGGAUAUAUGCAUGGGUAGACUUCAUGACUAGGCCAGGCGUGGUGGCUUACACCUGUAAUCCCAGCACUUUGGGAGGCCAAGGUGGGCAGAUCACGAGGUCAAGAGAUCCAGACCAUCCUGGCUAACACAGUGAAACCCCAUCUCUACUAAAAAAUACAAAAAAUUAGCCGGGUGUGGUGGUGGGUGCUUGUAGUCCCAGCUACUCAGGAGGCUAAGGCAGGAGAAUGGCAUGAACCCAGGAGGUGGAGCUGGCAGUGAGCCGAGAUCACACCACUGCACUCCAGCCUGGGCAACAGAGCGAGACUCUGUCUCAAAAAAAAAAAAAAAAAGACUUCAUGACUAAAACACCAAAAGCAAUGGCAACAAAAGCCACAAUUGACAGAUGGGAUCUAAUAAAACCAAGGAGCUUCUACACCACAAAAGAAACUAUCAUCAGAGUGAACAAGCAACCUACUGAAUGCGAAAAAAUUUUUGUAAUCUACCCUUCUGACAAAGGGCUAAUAUCCAGACUCUACAAAGAACUUAAACAAAUUUACAAGAAAAAAAAACCAUCAAAAAGUGGGCAAAGGAGAUGAACAGGCACUUCUCAAAAGAAGACAUUUAUGCAGCCAACAAGCUAUGAAAAAAAGCUCAUCAUCACUGGUCAUUAGAGAAAUGCAAAUCAAAACCACGGUAAGAUACCAUCUCAGGCCAGUUAGAAUGGCGAUCAUUAAUAAGUCAGGAAACAACAGAUGCAGGAGAGGAUGUGGAGAAAUAGGAAUGCUUCUACACUGUUGGUGGGAGUGUAAAUGAGUUCAACCAUUGUGGAAGACAGUGUGGCAAUUCCUCAAGGAUCUAGAACUAGAAUUACCAUUUGACUCAGCAAUCCCAUAACUGGGUAUAUAUCCAAAGGAUUAUAAAUCAUUCUAAAAAGACACACACACACGUAUGUUUAUUGUGGCACUGUUAACAAUAGCAAAGACUUGGAAUGAACCCAAAUGCCCAUCAAUGAUAGACUGGAUGAAGAAAAUGUGGCACAUAUACACUAUGGAAUACUAUGCAGCCAUAAAAAUGGAUGAGUUCAUGUCCUUUGCAGGGCCAUGGAUGAAGCUGGAAGCCAUUCUCAGCAAACUAACACAAGAACAGAAAACCAAACACUGCAUGUUCUCACUCAUUAGUGGGAGUUGAACAGUGAGAACACAUGGACACAGGGAGGGGAACAUCCCACACCAGGGCCUGUUGGCAGAGGUGGGGGACUAGGGGAGGGAUAGCACUGGGAGAAAUACCUAAUGUAGAUGAGGGGUUAAUGGGUGUAGCAAACCACCAUGGCACGUGUAUACCCAUGUAACAAAGCUGCACAUUCUGCACAUGUAUCCCAGAACUUAAAGUAUAAUAAAAAAGAAAAAUCUGCCAAGUUACUGCAAAAGGUGAUCAAAAAUGAAACAUUCUUCAAGGCCAAAUGAAUAAAGAAUAAUUAGUACAUGCACCUUCAAAAAAAAAAAAAGAAAAGAAAAUGGUAGUUGAGGCCAGGCACGCUGGCUCACGCCUGUAAUCCCAGUACUUUGGGCGGCCAAGGUGGUCAGAUCACUUGAGGCCAGGAGUUGAAGAGCAGUCUGGCCAACAUGGUGAAACCCAUCUCUACUAAAAAUACAAAAACCUAGCCAGGCGUGGUGGCGGGUGCUUGUAACCCAAGCUACUCAAGAGGCUGAGGAAAGAGGCGAAGGUUGUAGUGAGCUGAGAUCGUGCCACUGCACUCCAGCCUGGGUGACAGAGCAAGACUCUGUCUAAAUGGAAAUGGAAUUUGAAGAUAGACCCUUCAAAGUUAAGUUUAUAAGAAGAGUCUUAUAAUGUACCAGUUGUAAUAAUUUCUUUUCAUUUGGUACAGGGGCAACCCCUGCAAGACAAAUUUAUUCUGCUGAGGAAUAGUAAGUCCAUGUGGAGAACUCUUCUUCCAUCUGCCAUCCACUGAUGUCCCUAUUUUUUUUUUCUCUCCUGGGUGAUCAUAGCAAUUUUCCUAGAAGUCACUUCUCAGCAUCAGGCUUUUCCUCUUCAUGGAACUGUCCACUAGCAAAGGUACUUGGACCCAAAUGCUGCUUUUGCCUCCCUUGAGUGCCAUGCAGGGCUGUGUGACAUCAGCCCUGUCAGCUUCCUGAGCUAUCCAAGAGGGGCUUACAGAAGCCAGGUUUAGUACAGAACAACCACUGGAACCAUAAGACUUUAAGCCCAACCACCACUGUUCAUGGUUAGCAAGGAAACAGACAAAGCCCCCAUGUGCAUCUAGCCAGCAAAGGGUGGCAUCUUUUAAAGUUUCUUAGUGCCAAACUCCCCGUUGCAUGAAAUCAGGCCAUGUCAUCUGCUAGGCAUCUCAGUGUCAGGAAUAUUGAGCAAAUGUUUGUGUAACAAUUAAUCUUAUUAAUACCAUUUUUUUCUGGGCUUGAUGCACUGGGAUGUUCUUAUAAAACACGACUUUCAGAAAUAAAUAGAUCUAGAUUUAAAUCUUGGUUCUAUUAUUUAUAAGUGUAUAACAUUGAAUGAGUCAUUCAACCGUUCUGAAUUUGUGUCCUCUUGUCUUAAAAUGGGGAUAACACCACCUUAAAAUGUAAAUGUUACCACCGGUCAUAAUAAGUUAGUUAUGCAAAAGUACCAGUACAGUGCCUGGCAUGUUAUAGACACAUUUAUAUUUUUAAGGGAGGACUCAUUCUGCUUCUAGUGCUCGUCACCAACCUUAGAUCUUGUUUCUUCACAUACCCCAAAAAACUCAACUCAUAUUCCCAAGAGAUAAAAAUAGGCAUAUUUUCAUAAAACAUUUCAAUAAUCUCUUAUUGGGCAGUUAACAUGAAACCUACCUGAAU